AAGUCGUAACAAGGUUUCCGUAGGUGAACCUGCGGAAGGAUCAUUACCAAAAAAUCCAAAUACCAACCCCUUUUUGUGCAUCUUUUGAAUGUAUUUGGGAGAGAGAGGUUUGAUGAAAAGAAGAAAUUAAAAAUUAAUUUAUUCCUUUCUCUCUUCCUUCUCUCCCACAUUUAUUAACCUUAAACACCUUAUCAUGGGUUAACAUAUUAUAGUAAUUUUUAUAAAAAAACAAAUAAAAUUUAAAAGUAAAACAACUUUUAACGGUGGAUCUCUUGGCUCGU
rnacentral:misc_RNA from 1 species